UACGUAGGGACCGAGCGUUGUCCGGAAUCAUUGGGCGUAAAGAGCGUGUAGGCGGCCACUUAAGUCCUGCGUGAAAUCCUGCGGCUCAACCGCAGGCGGUCGUGGGAAACUGGGUGGCUAGAGUGCGGGAGAGGAGAGUGGAAUUCCUGGUGUAGCGGUGGAAUGCGCAGAUAUCAGGAAGAACACCAAUGGCGAAAGCAGCUUUCUGGGACGGUACUGACGCUGAGACGCGAAAGCGUGGGGAGCGAACAGG
rnacentral:rRNA from 1 species